UACAGAGGUCUCAAGCGUUGUUCGGAUUCAUUGGGCGUAAAGGGUGCGUAGGCGGCGAGGCAAGUCGGAUGUGAAAUCCCGGGGCUCAACCCUGGAACUGCAUUCGAUACUGCCUUGCUCGAGGACUGGAGAGGAGACUGGAAUUCACGGUGUAGCAGUGAAAUGCGUAGAGAUCAUGAGGAAGACCAGUGGCGAAGGCGGGUCUCUGGACAGUUCCUGACACUGAGACACGAAGGCCAGGGGAGCAAACGGG
rnacentral:rRNA from 1 species